rnacentral:rRNA from 1 species
AUCCAGACUCCUACGGGAGGCAGCAGUGGGGGAUAUUGCACAAUGGGGGGAACCCUGAUGCAGCGACGCCGCGUGGGUGAAGGAGCGUUUCGGCGCGUAAAGCCCUAUCGGCAGGGAAGAAGGAGGACGGUACCUGACUAAGAAGCCCCGGCUAACUACGUGCCAGCAGCCGCGGUAAUACGUAGGGGGCAAGCGUUAUCCGGAUUUACUGGGUGUAAAGGGAGCGUAGACGGCGAUGCAAGUCUGAAGUGAAAGGCGGGGGCCCAACCCCCGGACUGCAUUGGAAACUGCCGGGCUGGAGUGUCGGAGGGGUAAGCGGAAUUCCUAGUGUAGCGGUGAAAUGCGUAGAUAUUAGGAGGAACACCAGUGGCGAAGGCGGCUUACUGGACGAUGACUGACGCUGAGGCUCGAAAGCGUGGGGAGCAAACAGGAUUAGAUACCCCGGUACC